rnacentral:pre_miRNA from 15 species
GCCAUCUCCAAGAUACUGCUGUUUACGGUGAGUUUUGCAGGUUUGCAUUUCAGCAUGUAUGUAUCUAUGGCUGUGCAAAUCCAUGCAAAACUGAUUGUGAGCGGUGGGAGCUGUCUGCACUUUC